rnacentral:rRNA from 2 species
UGAAGUCGGAAUCGCUAGUAAUCGCAGGUCAGAAUACUGCGGUGAAUACGUUCCCGGGCCUUGUACACACCGCCCGUCACACCAUGGGAGUGGGAUGCAAAAGAAGUAGUUAGUCUAACCUUCGGGAGGACGAUUACCACUUUGUGUUUCAUGACUGGGGUGAAGUCGUAACAAGGUAACCCUAGGGGAACCUGGGGU